CGACACGAUAUCUUGAUAUAUGGGAGUCUGCUACCUUGGCUAUCAAGAGGGAUGGUUAUAGCAUCAAGGUUAAUGGGCCUGGUGGUGUUCUCGUCAGUGAGAAGUUUUCUCAAUCUACAAUUGUUACUAUUCCAUAUGGAAGUCCUACAGAAUUUUCGAUCCUUGAUAGUCGGGGAGUUGAGCAUCUUUUGAAGGCUGAGAAUGAUCAAGGAGACAUUAACUGUUCAAGGGAUACAAUUGUCCUCACCAUGAGACUAUUUAUUAUAAGGGCUGGUGAGAAGAAAAAAGGAAGGAGGAGAGGUUUGUUUUUCAACAAGUGAAAAGCUAGUCAGCCUUCCAAAACAUAUUUAUUAGUACACUUGUGUAUUCUUCUGUGAGUAGUUGAGCUUUUAGAUCUGUAUUUCUUUUGCUUUUUUUUUUGGUUACCAGUUCUGUUACAUAUUGUUAGUUCGCUCAGG
rnacentral:misc_RNA from 1 species